rnacentral:rRNA from 1 species
GAUGAACGCUGGCGGCGUGCUUAAUACAUGCAAGUCGAACGGAAGCAGUAGCAAUAUUGCUUUAGUGGCGAACGGGUGAGUAACGCGUUGGUGACCUGCCUCGAAGAGAGGGAUAACAGUCCGAAAGGAUUGCUAAUACCCCAUGUGGUCAUUUGGAUUAGAUGCCUUUUGACUAAACGGAUUUAUUCGCUUCGAGAGGGGCCUGCGUCCCAUCAGCUAGUUGGUAGGGUAAUGGCCUACCAAGGCGAUGACGGGUAGGGGACCUGAGAGGGUGGCCCCCCACAAUGGAACUGAAACACGGUCCAUACACCUACGGGUGGCAGCAGUAGGGAAUAUUGCAAAUGGGCGAAAGCCUGAUGUAGCAACGCCGCGUGUGCGAUGAAGGUCUUCGGAUUGUAAAGCACUUUUUGGAGGGAUGAGGAAGGACAGUACCUCCAGAAUAAGCCUCGGCUAACUACGUG